CUUAGGGGUGCGGGGGGUCCCGCGACUUGCUAAAAGCACACAGCUCACGGCGGGACCGCUAGGCUCCAAGCAGGAAGAAUGGCUGCAAAGAUGGCGGUUCUUCCGGGUGGACUCCUUCCUCUCUGCCUCCUGAAUGUCGGCCAGGAGGCCAGAGAUUUGUCUUGUUCGCUGUAGAUUCCCAGCUCACAGAAGAGUGGUUGGCACAGAGUAGGUGCCCAAGGCGCCCAUUGAAGAGGAAAGAGAAACCUGGAAAGCAGCGAUCCCUGGGAGAGAUGCAAGGCUGAACCAGGACAGAGACCAGGCAGGAUCCAGCAGUGAUGGGAAAAGGGAGCAGUUUCAACUAAGAAGGAGGGGCAAAGGAGGCACGGAACACAUCAGGCGAGGCUGCGCUGACCACAGGGCCAUGAGCUUCAGUCCCAGAGCGAAGCACAAACAACUCACACAACCACACACACUUCCAGGAGAAUGCUGGGUCUAACACAGUGGUCCUCAACUGGGGAUGAUUUUUCUCAAUAGGGGGAGCCUUUUUUGAGAGGAUGCUACUGGCAUCUAGUGGGUGGAGGACCACCGGGUGACUCUAAAUACGCCACAAUGCACAAGACAACCCCGCACGACAGCAAAUUUUCUGGCCCCAAUACUGGCAGUGCCAAGGCUGAGAAACCCUGAUCCAACCCCAACCCACCGCGCCCCCCCACCCCAACAAAGAGACUGGAGAUCUGCCCAUAAAAAUGAG